UACGUAGGUGGCAAGCGUUGUCCGGAAUUAUUGGGCGUAAAGCGCGCGCAGGUGGUUCUUUAAGUCUGAUGUGAAAGCCCACGGCUCAACCGUGGAGGGUCAUUGGAAACUGGGGAACUUGAGUGCAGAAGAGGAAAGUGGAAUUCCAAGUGUAGCGGUGAAGUGCGUAGAGAUUUGGAGGAACACCAGUGGCGAAGGCGACUUUCUGGUCUGUAACUGACACUGAGGCGCGAAAGCGUGGGGAGCAAACAGG
rnacentral:rRNA from 1 species